AUGUCGAUGAGAGUGUGUUCCCUGCAUUUUCAUUCUGCGCGAAAUCGAAAUUCGGAAAACCAAAACAUGGCAAAGAAGCGAACAGAAAACUUUGUCUGGACAGACGAGGAGGUUGAGCUAUUGCUGCAUACAACAGUUGAUUACAAAGCCACAAAGGCACAAGAGGGAGUGGACUGGGAGUCCUGUCAGACAAAAUAUGUGGAUAUAUGGACCGAAUUUCUGCGUCAGUAUCCUAUACCUGGAGGGACGGCAUAUCCCCAUGAGAAGGAGGCUAGAUGCAAAACCCAAAUCGGAUCCAAACUGAAAGGAGUCCGGGCAAAAUAUAGGCAGGCUGUCGAUACUCAACGGCGGAGUGGCCAUGGGAGAGUGAUCUCACUUUUUUUUGAUUUAUGCAAUGAAAUAUGGGGUGGGUCGCCAGCCACCAGCACAAUAGAGGCUGGUGUCGAAACAGCUGAAGUAAACAACACCGUGGAUAGUGCUAGCGAGUCUAGCAUUACAUCAUCUGAUCCGCCGGUAGAGUCAAUAGACAGCCCCGAGACCUCAGUCCAGUCCAGGAGAGAUCUACUUCAGGCAAGGCUCGAUGGCCAUAGAAGUGUUAGGCUCCAGAAGAGACUAAGGGUGGAUCCAGUGCAGACUGACCUCGACGUGAAAAAGAAGAUAGUAGACAUCAUUGAGCAGGCUGAAAGGAGCAACAGAGAGAGGCUGGACACCAUUGCAGAGGCUCAAAUAAGGAUAAGCCAUAGCUUUGACUUCCUUGUGAGACACAUCACCUCUCAGCCACCACCACCCAUGUCCCCCGCACAUUCAUACACACCACCACCACCACCCAUGUCCCCCGCACAUUCAUACACACCACCACCACCACCCAUGUCCCCCGCACAUUCAUACACACCACCACCACCACCCAUGGCCCCCGCACAUUCAUACACACCACCACCACCACCCAUGGCCCCCGCACAUUCAUACACACCACCACCACCCAUGGCCCCCGCACAUUCAUACACACCACCACCCAUGGCCCCCGCACAUUCAUACACACCACAACACAUGAGCCCUGCUCAUUCAUACACUGCUCUGCCCAUGGCCCCUGUACCUCCAUCCUCCUACAGACGACUACUAGAAGAGGAACACUCCGAUGAGGAAGACGUUUUGUCAUUGUCAUAGACCAAGUUUACAUUUUGUAAUAUUAUUAAUUUCGUUCAAAACCUGCCUACUGUUUAAGCACUUAAUCCUUUCUCAACCGCUGGGCAGAGGCCCAUGAUCAGUUCUGUUAGACAUGUUUGCCCUGGAGUGAAAAAACUUGAAUAUGACACUUCAUGAAUAUGGCACUUUAUUAUUCAUGGGAUCUUUUUUUUAUUGUUGUUGUCUAUUGCAAUAAAAAUCAAAAUAAAGAACAAGUUUGCAGCCUAGCAGAUGUUGAAACACACAUGAUAUUAAACACUGAUCAUGUGGACUAAACAAGUGGACUAAUAACUAAAGGAAAACAAGUGGCUUUUUAGUUAAAUCAAAAAAGUCCUUUUAACAAUGCUGUGCUGAAUACACAAUAGGUAUGCUGAUCUGCAUAAAUCACGGUGUCCUCAUGGAUCCAGUGCUCACCUUGCUGUAAAGAACAUACAGCCAGUAGCCACCUUGGUCAGUGUUCACACGGGCAGAGUCUGGUCCAUUGGCCAUUAAGGGUCAAGGUAUUUCGUGAGGAUUCUCCUCACUCUCUUUCCUCUCACCUCAUUACUGUCAGUCAGAUAUGUGUUUGCCUGGGUGGGAGGCUGCAGAUCCCUGUCACACUGUAUGGCUUCCUGCUCAACUUGGUGAUCCACAGGCCUCACAGUAGUUGUGGAGGACAAAGCAGGCAUAAAUAACAUUAGGCAGAUCGCGCAGGUUUAUGACCUUGGGACGCCUCAGGGCUGCAAACCUGGCCUUGAGCCGACCAAAUGAGCAUUCAAUAACCAUACGGGCCCUACACAAACUGAGUCCAAAGUAUUGUUCUGAUGGGGUAGAGCCUCCACCUGAGUACUCUUUCAUAAGGUAAGGGAGAAGGGGGUAAGCAGGUUUCCCCAAGAGAAAGAUAGGUAUUGGUUCCUCUUCCUCCACUAUCUGCCUUUCAAGUGAAGGUAUCUUCCCAGUCUUGAGGUACGUGUUCACUUUGGAAUUGGCGAAGACACGCGCAUCGUGGACACUUCCAGGCCAUUUUAUGACCACAUCCAUGAAUCUGUAAGGCAAGCAAACAGCAUAUUUUAACUCAAAGUGCUUUACCAUCUUUAAUGACAAUAGUGGAACAUACAUGGGAUAGCCUUUAGAAAGAGCACAAGAGAGCUCAAAGACUUUGAUUAAACCUACCUGUAUUUGUGGUCACACACAGCUUGGACGUUCAGGGAGAACCUGUGUUUCCUGUUAAUGUAAUCCAUGGCGUUGACGGCUGGCUGUUUAUGUCAAUAUGUGUCCCGUCUACCGCUCCCAAACAUUGGGGCAUUCCAUGAUCUCGCAGAAAUCCGGAUACGAGUUCCUCUGUCUCGGGCACAGUAAAAGGCAACUGGAUAUAUUUCGGACCGAGGUGGACCGUUAUGGCUUUGCAUGUUUGUCUUACGAUGACCGACACAGUCGGACGUGAUAAGCCAAAGGCGUUCGCUGUCUUCCUUAGACGUCCCUCAUCAUUUAAAUAAUAUAAAGUGCACGCUACCUUUUUCAGGACCCCCACAGGUGCUCUCAUGUUGGUUAUUAUGCCCUCUAUGUAUGGGCGAAGUUCCUCACUCAAGGCGACAAUCGAAUCUUUGGACAUGCGAAAGUUUUCACGCCAUGCUCUGUCGUCAACUUCGCCUUGAACAAAGUUGUCCCACCAUAGACUGGUUCUCCCGGGUCUAAUCCACACCUGUCUGGUUCGCCUCCGACGAAUUGGAGCAUCAAACAAUUGCCCUAUGCCUAGGUAAUUAAUGCGCCUUCCAUGUUCUGUUAUGUGUGUUACUACUCGGCUUAUUUGCUGAAAUGACUCCUGGAUAGUUAUAAAAGCAGAUAGAAUCUCCUACUGAUGGGAUAUAAUCCGACAUGUUAAUUUCCUGUAUGUGUGGCCAUUAAAAUAAUGUUGAUUCUGAUGUUUGUUGGUGUUUGGCUGUACUGCACAUGGGUAUGACGUCAACGCGUAGGCAAGGAUAGCCAGCGUGCGCAGCUCAGAGCACACUUAUGCGUUUUCAACCCUUUAGACGGGAACGUGACGGUGGAGCGUUUUUAAGAUUUCCACUCUGGAGGGUGGGUUCAUUUUUUGCGUUUUUAAGCCCCCAAAACGCUGUCGCCGUCUAAACGAAAGGCACAUCUGAUAAAAUAGUCGGUUUCACCCAGGAGCAUUGUCGUGUGAUCUCUCUCUCUCUCUCUCUCCCUCUCAUACCGUUUUGUGGAGCACAUUCAUUGUCUUAGAACACUCCCAUUCAGAAUGCAUUGGUUUACAUGGAC
rnacentral:lncRNA from 1 species